UACGUAGGGGGCAAGCGUUGUCCGGAAUCAUUGGGCGUAAAGCGCGUGUAGGCGGUUCGGUAAGUCCGCUGUGAAAGUCGGGGGCUCAACCCUCGGAUGCCGGUGGAUACUGUCGAGCUUGAGUACGGAAGAGGCGAGUGGAAUUCCUGGUGUAGCGGUGAAAUGCGCAGAUAUCAGGAGGAACACCAAUUGCGAAGGCAGCUCGCUGGGACGUCACUGACGCUGAGACGCGAAAGCGUGGGGAGCAAACAGG
rnacentral:rRNA from 1 species